ensembl:lncRNA
ACCUGAGACAUAUGGAAGUUCCCAGGCUAGGGGUCUAUUGGAGCUACAGCUGCUGGCCUACACCACAGCCACAGCAAUACCAGAUCCGAGCCAUGUUUUUGACCCACAACACAGCUCACAGCAACACUGGAUCCUUAACCCACUGAGCAAGGCCAGGGAUCAAGCCCGCAACCUCAUGGAUACUCUGUCAGGUUCUUAACCCUCUGAGCCAUAAGACACAGUGAGGAGAUACACAUUAAACUAUGUCAUUGAGUAGCCAAUACUUUCAUAGAAUAAGGCAACCGCCUUCAUUGAAUGCCUGUGUGUACCCAUAUGAUGAACUACUCCUUUUUGACAACCCAGCUCAGCUGAGAUCAGAGGAUGAGCACUUACGGCACAGCAAUAUCAUCACGAACCUAGCCUGUUUUCCCCAAACCAAGAAUUAAUAUUGAAAUUCUCUUAGGAAAGUCAUUGUCCACCUCCUAUAGAGAGAAAAGCUAAAACCCAGAAAAGCUCUAUGAUUUUCCAAGAGGCAAGUCAGGAUUUUUUUUUCCCCACUGGUACCUAUUAUCACUUGAAAUCUGAACCACCAUAAAAGACGGGUCUUUUCUCCCAGAUACAAAGCAGAAAGGGAUAGAACAUGCAGUUUUUCAUAUAGUACAUUUUAGCAAAACCAUCAAUUCAAAUGCAGAAUAAAAUCUUCUUAGAACUGUUAAAUAGGAGAUUUUGCUUUGAUGUGCAAUGGGAAGUGGAUGAUUAUUUUUCAGUCUUCAAACCUAUAUGUGCUACAUUUUAACGUACAGGAUGGUCAUUGUUUAGUCCUACAUUCCAAACUUUCAUUCCUUUUAAUAAAGGCAUGGAUGCCUCACAUUAUCACUGAAUGGUCUCUGAAUAACUUUCAUUUUCACACCUAAAGUCAAAAAAAAUGUUUUAAAAUCCCAAGGAUCUUGCUAGUUCAAAUUGAUUGUAACUCCUUUGGAAUGAUUAUGAAGAGUCAUGGCAAAAAGUCAUGAGUUGAUAUACUUACACAUACACUGAUUAAAAGGAGAUAGAAAUAAUCCAGCAGAGUGUAGGCUUAAGCUAUGCUUCUCAUUUAUAUCGUCUCAUUUUCAAUGUUGUGGAAAGUAACAUAAUGUCUUUUCUAGCAAAGGAAACCUUGGUUACUCCAUUUUGCUCAGGGUUCAGCUGAAACGCCUUCCUGCAACCCCACCCCACCUCACUUCCCUCUUCUUCCGGUAACAAUUUGUUUCAAAUUAGCCAACCGAGAAGAACGUGGGCCCUGACCUGACCAAUGGGGAGGGGACAGGUAUAUCACCUGCCUUAGGGGUAAAUAGGGAGGGUCUUUUCUUCUUUGAAGGCACUUUUUGAGCACCUGCGCCCUUCUGCAGAAGUAAAGAAAGAGGCUUGUUGAGAUCUCCCUGUGUUCAUGUGUCUCAUUUUCCAACACUGACGAUCUGAGCCAUGUCCUCAGCAAUGUCAUGGAGAAAGAGAGAGGCGAGUUGUAUAGAUGACUGGGGGCUACAGAAAGAAAACUUUCCACUCUUAAAAUGAUGUGGUUAUUUAUAAGCUGAUUAAUGCCAGGGAGUUCACCACCUAAUGUUUGUGUUUAAGUGACAGGACACCCUGAAUCAACAUAAGCUUACCUAGUGGGUUGCCCAUUUGCACAGUUACUAAAUCUUAACAAUACUCUCAAUUCCUGUGUGAUGACUCAGUUCUCAGAGAGUAAGGCCCUCUUUUGUGCCAGAUGGAAAGAGUGACUCUGACAAACAAAAACACUUUAGGCUCCAAAUACAGCAGGAAUAUGGGAAUGCUUCUCUACACUCUCCUGGCACAAACCUUAAUAAAGUAGCUUUCUUUUUUGUUUUGUUUUGUUUUGUUUUGUUUUGUUUAGCACCUCACCUGAGGCAUAUGGAAGUUCCCAGGCUAGGGGUUGAAUCAGAACUUCAGCCAUAGCAAUUUGGGAUCCCAGCUGUGUCUGCAACCUUCACCAGAGUUCAUGGCAACCCCGGAUCCUUAACCCACUGAGAGGGGUCAGGGAUCGAACUUGUGUCCUCAUGGAUCCUAGUUAGGUUCAUCACUGCUGAGCCAUGACAGGAACUCCUAAAAUAGCUUUCUUUUUAUUUCAAUAGUAGGCAUUCCUCUAAUCAGAUAUUUGAAUGAAACACAAAUAUACAAAGCCAAAAGAAACACCAUUGCUACCUUUAGAAAUUUGAUGCAUCUUUUCUAUAAACCAUGAGAAAGUUUAGUCUACUCUUUUCACCAUAUGCUCUCACUACUACUGACUCUCAUUUGAAAGAAAAGCAAAAGCAUGGCUUGAUUCUGCAAAAAAGAGCAACUGCUUGCAUCUAUUCCACCCAUAGCCUAGUCAUUUCUGCAUUGGUCUCCAAAUGAUAGCUCUUGGGGACCAGUAUCCCACGCUAUUGGUACCACUCUGAAGGAAAUGAGGGUGACUUCAUGAGGAAGACUUGGACAUGACAAUGUUGAGAGGAAGAGCUGUCCCCAGCCCACGAGCCUGGCUCACUCCAUUAGCAUCGGCAGAGGGGGCCGAUCAGAAAAUAAAGGCUCUUCUCAGCUUCCAAACCAGGGAACCUGGACAUUGGGUUGAAACGGUAUUCGGUCUAUUAAACUUUACCAUUUGCUACCUCUGUCACUUCUGAUACAGCAAAAUGUAGGGGAAAAGAGGGUUACAAGUUC